rnacentral:misc_RNA from 1 species
UCUCCGUAGGUGAACCUGCGGAGGGAUCAUUAACACUUGAUCUAUAACCAAAAUUUAUAAACCCAUUCUGUGAAUUGUUGUUGUAUAAAUCUGAUCUGAUCUGAUCUGAUCUGAUCUGAUCUUGAUUUGAUUUAUUCAACGAGCGAGUUUUAAAAUACUCGCUCAAACCCCCCACGACUAUGACUCGUACUCGUAGAGAGAGCAAUCUCUCUCUCGUGUCGUGUUAUAAUUUAUUUUUUUACAAAUAUUUAAUUUAUAGAAUCAAUCAACAGAUCGACAUUACUAAAAAGAAAAACAACUCUUAGCAAUGGAUAUCUUGGUUCUC